rnacentral:rRNA from 1 species
AAUGAACGCUGGCGGCAUGCCUUACACAUGCAAGUCGAACGGCAGCAUGACCUAGCUUGCUAGGUUGAUGGCGAGUGGCGAACGGGUGAGUAAUGCAUCGGAACGUGCCUUUUAGUGGGGGAUAACGUAGCGAAAGUUACGCUAAUACCGCAUAUUCUCUGAGGAGGAAAGCAGGGGACCUUCGGGCCUUGCGCUAGAAGAGCGGCCGAUGUCGGAUUAGCUAGUUGGUGAGGUAAAGGCUCACCAAGGCAACGAUCCGUAGCGGUUCUGAGAGGAUGAUCCGCCACACUGGGACUGAGACACGGCCCAGACUCCUACGGGAGGCAGCAGUGGGGAAUUUUGGACAAUGGGCGCAAGCCUGAUCCAGCCAUGCCGCGUGAGUGAAGAAGGCCUUCGGGUUGUAAAGCUCUUUCGGCUGGGAAGAAAUCGCACCCUCUAAUACAGGGUGUGGAUGACGGUACCAGCAUAAGAAGCACCGGCUAACUACGUG